rnacentral:rRNA from 1 species
UACGUAGGGUGCAAGCGUUAAUCGGAAUUACUGGGCGUAAAGCGUGCGCAGGCGGCUAUGCAAGACAGAUGUGAAAUCCCCGGGCUCAACCUGGGAAUGGCGAUGGUGACUGCAAGGCUAGAGUUUGGCAGAGGGGGGUAGAAUUCCACGUGUAGCAGUGAAAUGCGUAGAUAUGUGGAGGAACACCGAUGGCGAAGGCAGCCCCCUGGGUCAAAACUGACGCUCAUGCACGAAAGCGUGGGGAGCAAACAGG